rnacentral:rRNA from 1 species
UAUAAAUAGUUUUAUAUUGUUGAUGGUUGUAGAAGUAUUAUUAAUUUAUUAAAUAUUUUUUUGUUAUUGUAAUAUUUAUUGAUUUAAUUUAUCUAAUUAUAAUGAAUUAGUACUGUGAAGGAAAAAGUGUUAUUGAAAUAUAAAAAUAUUAGGUAAAGUUGAUUUGAUUUAUCUUAUCUUGAGUAUCAGAGUAGAUUAAUAUAAAUAAUUGAUUUUUUUUAUCCCGAACUUAAAGGACUUAAUUUAAUAUAAUGUUCAUUGUUUUAUAACUGUCAUUAAUAUUUAAUUAGUGGUGAAAUGUUUUCGUUUUUAAAGAUAUCUGGUUUUUUAUUAAAUGAAUUUAAUUCAGAAGACGUAAGUUAAUAUUAUUUAUCGAAAUAAUUAUUUUUUAUGUUUUUAAUUUUUUAAGGGUUUAGCUUUUAAAAAUAAUGACUAUAAGUAUGUAUUAUUUAUUUUAAUUGAAAAUUUAUAAAUUUAGAAGUUGUUACUGUUUUGGAGUGUGUUAAAAUUUAUUUUAAGGUUUAUUGAAAAAUUUUAUUUAUUUUAGUGUGAAAUAUUUAAUAAGAUUGAAAAUUGAACUUUAUUUUUUUUGUAAUAAUGAUUUAAUUAGUAUAAUGAUUUUAUAUAAAUUAAGCUUGUUUGGAAGGAAUUAUUAUAUGUUUUUGUGAAGAAUUAGGCAAAGAUUUAUUGUUCGCCUGUUUAUUAAAAACAUGGUUUCUUGUUUAUUUAAGAAAUUUGACCUGCCCACUGAUAUGUAUUGGAGGGCCGCAGUAUUUUGACUGUGCGAAGGUAGCGUAAUCAUUAGUCUUUUAAUUGAAGGCUUGUAUGAAUGGUUGGACGAAACAAUUUCUGUUUUAUAAGAAUUUAUUAAAAUUUAGGUUUUGAGUAAAAAAUCUUAAAUAUUAUUAAGGGACGAGAAGACCCUAUAGAGUUUAAUAUUAUUUUGUUUUAUUUAUGUUGUUUUAAAGUAUGUUAUUGUUAUUAUGAAGUUUUAUUUAGUUGGGGUGAUUGGAAAAUAAGUGUAACUUUUCUUUUUUAUUAAUAAUGAUAAUUAGAUUACUGAUCCAUUAAUAGUGAUUAUAAGAUUAAAUUACCUUAGGGAUAACAGCAUAAUUUUUUUUGAGAGUUCUUAUCGAGAGAAAAGAUUGUGACCUCGAUGUUGGAUUAGGAUUAAUGUUAAAUGUAGACGGUUAAUUAUUAGGUCUGUUCGACCUUUAAAAUCCUACAUGAUCUGAGUUUAAACCGGUGUGAGCCAGGUUGGUUUCUAUCUUUAAUUAAAUAAAGAAUCUUAGUACGAGAGGACCAGGUUACUUAAAAUAAUUUUUAGAAUUUAUUUGGUAAUUAGAUUUA